UACGAAGGGGGCUAGCGUUGCUCGGAAUCACUGGGCGUAAAGCGCACGUAGGCGGAUUGCUAAGUCAGGGGUGAAAUCCUGGAGCUCAACUCCAGAACUGCCCUUGAUACUGGCGGUCUCGAGUCCGGGAGAGGUGAGUGGAACUGCGAGUGUAGAGGUGAAAUUCGUAGAUAUUCGCAAGAACACCAGUGGCGAAGGCGGCCCACUGGCCCGGUACUGACGCUGAGGUGCGAAAGCGUGGGGAGCAAACAGG
rnacentral:rRNA from 1 species